rnacentral:rRNA from 1 species
UACAGAGGUCCCAAGCGUUGUUCGGAUUCACUGGGCGUAAAGGGUGCGUAGGCGGUCGGGUAAGUCUGAUGUGAAAUCUCAGAGCUCAACUCUGAAACUGCAUUGGAUACUAUUCGGCUGAGGUCUGGAGGGGGGACUGGAAUUCUCGGUGUAGCAGUGAAAUGCGUAGAUAUCAGAGGAACACCGUGGCGAAGGCGAGUCCCUGGACAGGUCCUGACGCUGAGGCACGAAAGCUAGGGGAGCAAACAGG